rnacentral:lncRNA from 1 species
CAACAAUUUAGUGUAAAUUUCCUCCAGACAAGGACAUUCUUCUACAUAACUACAAUAUAACCAUCAAAACAAGGAAAUUAACACUGAUACGUCAUUACCACCUACUCUCAGCCCCCAUUUAAUCAUUGCCAAUUUUUCCCAGUAACAUCCUUUAGAGCACAAGGAUCCAAUGCAGAUUUAAACAUUUAGUUGUUAGUGUCUUCUGUCUCCUUUGGUCCGAAAUAAUUCCUCAGUCUUCCCUUAUCAUCGAUGACCUUGACACUUUUGAAUGUAGAAGGCCAGUUAUUUGUAGACUGUACCUCGAUUUGAGUUUGUCUGAUGUUUUGUCAUAAUUAGAUUCAGGUUAUAUGUCGUUGGCAGGAAUCUCUCAGAAUGAUGCUCAGUUCUUCCAUGUCUUCCAAUCAAAUGGUCACAAUUGCUUUUUGUCUCUUUUCUGGCCAUCUAAAGUCUAUUGCUGUGACACAUGAUUGUGAACUGGUCUCUCCAAACAGAGACUCCACCGUCUGAUGAGGAUCCAUCUCUUCCAGUCCAUCCAUUAAGAACUCCUCCCUCUGAGAACAUGGUCCUUCCAAGUUUCCUUUUCUAAUGUUUCAAAACUAUUAACACAUUAUACAGGAGCUUAUAAAGGUCUUUUCAUGAAUAUUAUAUUUCAGUUAUUGAUUUGUUUUCCAAUUACGGUGCACACAGAUGUGAUGUGGUUAUAAAAUAAAUAAAUGUGUGGCUUAUGAAAAUAUGUUUUAUUCUUUUCAUAGUUUACUGUAAAUAUAUGAGAAAUAAAUAUAUUUUAAAGAAAAUUUGUUCUUUGGGGUUUCCAGAGAAAUUAAAGGGUAUGGCCACCAGCAAACAAAAGUACAACAUUCAUAAUUUUUAGGCUUCAGUUAAAACUUCUAGGGACAUCUGUGAAGGCCUGUAGUGGAAAUUUCAGUUGACUAUUGGAUAACUUCUACCAUGACACUUUAGGCCCCCAACUCACCAAUAUUCUGGUAAGACGAGAGUCCAGUUUCUAGUGCGAUCAUCCAUAGAUUGUCUGAUGAUAAUAAUUCACGUAUAAUAUUACACGUAUUCUUUAUAAGAGCCCUUUAAGGUAGACGAGACAAGAGCUAUCAAGUGACUGCACAAGCUCACACAUAUGCUAGGUAGCAGAACUAAAAUGCAAUCUCAGGUCUUCAUUCAUACCACACAUGACGCUCUCUCUCAAGACUAGAUUAUAUUUUUAAUAGGUUUCUGAUUCCUCAAUCACAUCUUCUUAUGUGGUGCAUCCAAACUCCCUUCUACCUAAUGAGGUAGAUAAAUCAAGCCAAUCAAAUCUAAACUCAUGGGAAAAACGCCUUCUGAAAAGAUGUUUUCUUUAAGAUAACUGGCUUUUAAAAGAAAAAUUUCCCUUCAAAUUACAGAGCAAAGUAUCUAAAGAAAUUCCCAACCAGAUUAUAUAACUGACAAAGUAGAGUGAAUUUUUUUUCUUCUGGACUAUCAUUUUUAUAUGAAGACAGGACAGUAAAUUCCAUGCAUAAACUAUUUUUCAAAGAUGAUGUGCUAUAGCCAUGAGAAUAUAGGAUGAAAAAAGUGAAUCAGUUACUUGGUGGUUAUCACAAAGCCUCAAAAUCAACAUUUCAGUUUCUGAUGCAUCUGCUGCUUUCACCUACUGAAAAUGCAAAGAAUUCUACUACUAUAAGAAAUAUUUAUUAUUUUUAUAAUUAUAAAGUUAAUAUAUGUUUAUCAUUCUUAAAGUGCAGAAAGAUAUAAAGAAGAAAAUUAGAAUUACAAUUAGAAUCACCACCAAGCAAUAAUGACUGGUUUCACUUAAAAAUUUCCUUUCCUGCAUUUGCACGUCUGGUUUUGUUUUUACAAAACUGGGAAUGUAUAGUAGAGUUUUGUUUUCCAUUUUCUUUCUCAUUUAUAUAAAUAGCAUUUUCCCAUGACACUAAACUCUGUAAUGGGGCAUUGGUGGAUGAAUAAUGGCCUAUGGAAUGUACCCUAAUUUAUUUAACCAUAAUUUAUUUAACUCUGUUAUUAGAAAUGUUGACAUUUUUAUUUUCACUAUUAAAAACAGCAAUACAAUAAACACUUUUGCAUGUAAAUCUUUCUCGAAAACUUUGAAUAUAUUCCUAGAAGUAAAAUUAUUACAUCAAAAGGCAUGAACUCUUUUAAGAAUGAGUUCAUAACACUGUUACAUGCAUUUCCAGGAAAAUCAUACCCAUUUACCCUUCAAGGAACAGAUUAUCCAAAAACCCUUGGGAGCAUUUAAUAUUUUAACAUUGUUUCAUCAAUUUGCUGGUUUAAAAAUAAAAUUGUAUUGUUGUUUUAAUUUUCAUGUACUUUACUAUUAAUAAAACUGAAGGAUUUUUGCACAUGUAAGUUUCACAUAUAUGAAUAUAUUCACCUGUGUGCUUUAUGUUUGUGUGUGUUUCCUUCUGUCUUAUGCCUAUUUUUCUACUGAUAUAUUCACAUUAUUAUUUUUAGAUAUGUAUUUUAAAUAUAUUUUCAAAUAUUAAUAAAGACACUAUUUUAUAUACUAAACAGAGCCCUUGACAUAUUACUAAUAAUGUUAUUAACAUUACUUACCACUUUGUCGUGUGCUUUUAAUUUUUAUACCAUCAAAUCUUUAAGGUUCCACUAGGUAUUCAGAGCUCAUAGUGUUUAAAACAUGUCAUUGCACAUUUGCGUAAAUAGAAUAAUUUUUCUAUCAAUCAGUUCAUUUGUGGCUGCAGAAUAGCCAUUAAACCAAGCUGCUUUGAGAGCCCAACACCCCAUAUUCAGCAGUCUCCACUGGCAGUUUUGGAGAGUAGUGAAUUAUACAAAAAUACACUUCCAAAACUCAGCCUUUCAUAACCAUUUUCAGUGGAGCUUUGAACUGACCCAGGGCCCUUUGGGAACUAUGUUUCUCUCCAGACAUAACAUUAUUUCCUGGUUAUAGAACUAAAUCUUAUCAAAAGCACCUCAAGACUCUUCUAGGGGACAUCAAAUACCCAUUGCCAAAUAACAUUUUGAUGAGUUAAGUGUAAAUGAAUGUGAAACAUAUGGACUAUAUUUCCUCUAAAUAAACAAGAAUAUAAAAUGGAAAGGUGCUUAGCCAAGUAGAUUUGGGACUGUUUGGGAAGAAAAAUGAGUUUAAUUCAAGCCUAAAAUAUAAUCCGUGUAUCAACUGUAUAUAUGAUCUCAAAAUAAGUUGGGUCUGUGCUGGCCACAGGUAUCAAUAACCCCUGAGAGAAGAUAGGAAUUCCAAGGGUAUUUCUCUUCAACCUAUAUUCUAAG